rnacentral:rRNA from 1 species
GUGUCAGUAGCCGCGGUAAUACGGAGGGUGCGAGCGUUAAUCGGUAUUACUGGGCGUAAAGCGCAUGCAGGUGGUUAGUUUAGUCAGAUGUGAAAGCCCGGGGCUCAACCUCGGAAUUGCAUUUGAAACUGGCUGACUAGAGUACUGAAGAGGGGGGUAGAAUUUCAGGUGUAGCGGUGAAAUGCGUAGAGAUCUGAAGGAAUACCGGUGGCGAAGGCAGCCCCCUGGACAGAUACUGACACUCAGAUGCGAAAGCGUGGGAGCGAACAGGAUUAGAUACCCUGGUAGUCC